UACGGAGGAUCCAAGCGUUAUCCGGAUUUAUUGGGUUUAAAGGGUGCGUAGGCGGACUUAUAAGUCAGUGGUGAAAGUUUGCAGCUUAACUGUAAAAUUGCCGUUGAAACUGUUAGUCUUGAGUGUAAAUAAGGUAGGCGGAAUGUGUUGUGUAGCGGUGAAAUGCUUAGAUAUAACACAGAACACCAAUUGCGAAGGCAGCUUACUGGGAUACAACUGACGCUGAGGCACGAAAGCGUGGGGAUCAAACAGG
rnacentral:rRNA from 1 species